rnacentral:rRNA from 1 species
UCGAUUCCCUUAGUAGCGGCGAGCGAAACGGGAAGAGCCCAAACCAACAAGCUUGCUUGUUGGGGUUGUAGGACACUCUAUACGGAGUUACAAAGGACGACAUUAGACGAAUCAUCUGGAAAGAUGAAUCAAAGAAGGUAAUAAUCCUGUAGUCGAAAAUGUUGUCUCUCUUGAGUGGAUCCUGAGUACGACGGAGCACGUGAAAUUCCGUCGGAAUCUGGGAGGACCAUCUCCUAAGGCUAAAUACUCUCUAGUGACCGAUAGUGAACCAGUACCGUGAGGGAAAGGUGAAAAGCACCCCGGAAGGGGAGUGAAAUAGAACCUGAAACCGUGUGCUUACAAGUAGUCAGAGCCCGUUAAUGGGUGAUGGCGUGCCUUUUGUAGAAUGAACCGGCGAGUUACGAUUUGAUGCAAGGUUAAGCAGUAAAUGUGGAGCCGUAGCGAAAGCGAGUCUGAAUAGGGCGUUUAGUAUUUGGUCGUAGACCCGAAACCAGGUGAUCUACCCUUGGUCAGGUUGAAGUUCAGGUAACACUGAAUGGAGGACCGAACCGACUUACGUUGAAAAGUGAGCGGAUGAACUGAGGGUAGCGGAGAAAUUCCAAUCGAACCUGGAGAUAGCUGGUUCUCUCCGAAAUAGCUUUAGGGCUAGCCUCAAGUGAUGAUUAUUGGAGGUAGAGCACUGUUUGGACGAGGGGCCCCUCUCGGGUUACCGAAUUCAGACAAACUCCGAAUGCCAAUUAAUUUAACUUGGGAGUCAGAACAUGGGUGAUAAGGUCCGUGUUCGAAAGGGAAACAGCCCAGACCACCAGCUAAGGUCCCAAAAUAUAUGUUAAGUGGAAAAGGAUGUGGCGUUGCCCAGACAACUAGGAUGUUGGCUUAGAAGCAGCCAUCAUUUAAAGAGUGCGUAAUAGCUCACUAGUCGAGUGACACUGCGCCGAAAAUGUACCGGGGCUAAACAUAUUACCGAAGCUGUGGAUUGUCCUUUGGACAAUGGUAGGAGAGCGUUCUAAGGGCGUUGAAGCAUGAUCGUAAGGACAUGUGGAGCGCUUAGAAGUGAGAAUGCCGGUGUGAGUAGCGAAAGACGGGUGAGAAUCCCGUCCACCGAUUGACUAAGGUUUCCAGAGGAAGGCUCGUCCGCUCUGGGUUAGUCGGGUCCUAAGCUGAGGCCGACAGGCGUAGGCGAUGGAUAACAGGUUGAUAUUCCUGUACCACCUAUAAUCGUUUUAAUCGAUGGGGGGACGCAGUAGGAUAGGCGAAGCGUGCGAUUGGAUUGCACGUCUAAGCAGUAAGGCUGAGUAUUAGGCAAAUCCGGUACUCGUUAAGGCUGAGCUGUGAUGGGGAGAAGACAUUGUGUCUUCGAGUCGUUGAUUUCACACUGCCGAGAAAAGCCUCUAGAUAGAAAAUAGGUGCCCGUACCGCAAACCGACACAGGUAGUCAAGAUGAGAAUUCUAAGGUG